GACGAACGCUGGCGGCGUGCUUAACACAUGCAAGUCGAACGAGAGCGUAGAGAAAGCUUGCUUUUUCUACAAUCUAGUGGCAAACGGGUGAGUAACGCGUAAACAACCUGCCCUACGGAUGGGGACAACAGCUGGAAACGGCUGCUAAUACCGACUACGUUCCGAAAGUCGCAUGACUAUCGGAAGAAAGGAUGGCCUCUAUUUAUAAGCUAUCGCCGGAGGAGGGGUUUGCGUCUGAUUAGCUAGUUGGAGGGGUAACGGCCCACCAAGGCGACGAUCAGUAGCCGGCCUGAGAGGAUGAACGGCCACAUUGGAGCUGAGACACGGUCCAGACUCCUACGGGAGGCAGCAGUGGGGAAUCUUCCGCAAUGGGCGAAAGCCUGACGGAGCAACGCCGCGUGAGUGAAGACGGCCUUCGGGUUGUAAAGCUCUGUUAUACGGGACGAAUAAUCUUGUGGUUAAUACCCAUGAGAAGUGACGGUACCGAAAGAGAAAGCCACGGCUAACUACGUG
rnacentral:rRNA from 1 species